rfam:Dipodomys ordii contig_50845, whole genome shotgun sequence.
GGUGGCUCAGUGGUAGAGUACUUGCCUUGCAUGCCUGAGGCCCUGGGUUCGAUUCCCCAGCACCA